ensembl:antisense Gm44759 predicted gene 44759
UGAUUGUGGUUCUGGAGGCUGCUAAUCAGGUGGCGCAUUUCCCGGUUGAUAGGCCCUGGGGAAAGGUCAGCAAGUGAGUGUGCUGAGCUGUCUCCUCCAGCUCACCAACUCCACAGGCGGAGCCAGUGCCCACAGAGAAGCAGACGAAGCCUCAGAGGCUGGAGAAACGGCUCAGCAGGCGGUCCGAGGCCUCGACCACCCGAGACACUGCAGCCUUGGAGAAUUCCAUCCGACCCUGCAGCUGCAGCUCCACUUCCUCACAGCUGCUGGCGCCCAGUGCCACCACAAAAGCCAAAGCCGGCUCACUGAGAGGGGCUCGAAACUGCACUGGCAGCGGUUCUAGAAGGGACAGAGAAUCCUCAUAGGAAUGAAAGGCCACAGCAGGGACCAUCAACCUGUACCAAGUCCCAGAAUAAGCUCCUUGCUAUUC